ACCGGGAGCGCGGCGUCUCCUGUAAUCCGGCGACACGGAGGUCGGGAACGGAGGAUAGUUUGAGGUCGGGAGCUCUGGCGCGUGGACCCAUGUAGACUGGACGUCCGCAUUGAGCCCGGCAUCGGCAUGGGCAGCCCGGGGGAGUCCGGGCGGGCCAGGUUGACUAAGGAGGGGCGGACAGGGCCAGGGGGGAGACCCAGCAGCCAAGAGUCCCCGUGUCGGGCGGUAGUGGGACAGCGGCCGGGAGUGGGACUCACAGCGUCAGCCAGACCAACAUAACUAGACACCCUUCCUUU
rnacentral:SRP_RNA from 1 species